rnacentral:rRNA from 1 species
GUGGGGAAUUUUGGACAAUGGGCGCAAGCCUGAUCCAGCAAUGCCGCGUGCAGGAAGAAGGCCUUCGGGUUGUAAACUGCUUUUGUACGGAACGAAAAGGCUCUGGUUAAUACCUGGGGCUCAUGACGGUACCGUAAGAAUAAGCACCGGCUAACUACGUGCCAGCAGCCGCGGUAAUACGUAGGGUGCAAGCGUUAAUCGGAAUUACUGGGCGUAAAGCGUGCGCAGGCGGUUUUGUAAGACAGACGUGAAAUCCCCGGGCUCAACCUGGGAAUGGCGUUUGUGACUGCAAAGCUGGAGUGCGGCAGAGGGGGAUGGAAUUCCGCGUGUAGCAGUGAAAUGCGUAGAUAUGCGGAGGAACACCGAUGGCGAAGGCAAUCCCCUGGGCCUGCACUGACGCUCAUGUACGAAAGCGUGGGGAGCAAACAGGAUUAGAUACCCUAGUAGUCC